rnacentral:rRNA from 1 species
UGUCGACCUGGAAUCGGGCGAGAUCACCCGCCGAACUUAAGCAUAUCAUUGAGCGGAGGAAAGGAAACCAAACGGGAUUCCCCCAGUAAUGGCGAACGAAAAGGGAAAAGCCAAGCGUCGAACCCUCGAUCCCAACGGGUCCGAGGGAAUGUGACGUUCGGGAGGCGGUCGUCUCCGCCGAGGUACGGUGCGCCCAGCCCCGAAGUCCGCUGGAACGCGGCCGCCCGGAGAGGGUGACAGGCCCGUAGCGGGGGCUCCGACCUCGGCGAGACCGUUGAGCGCUUGUCGCUCAUCUCCCAAGAGUCGGGCUGCUUGAGAGUGUAGCUUCAAGUCGGUGGUAAACCCCACCGGAGGCUGGCGAUGGAUAUUACGGCGAGACCGACAGCGAACAAGUACCGUGUGGGAAAGUUGAAAAGCACUUUGAAGAGAGAGUUAAAGAGUCCGUGAAACCGUCCGGAGGGUAAGCGGGUGGAACUCCGAGGGGCCGAGGUGCGGAUUCAGCCGCGCGAGACGACUGGACCGCGACAUGGCGACACCCGAAAGGGCGACGUCCGUCGCGCGUUCCGCCGCCGUCUCGUCGGUGCAAUUCCGCCACGUCAGGCGACCGCGGCCGGUGGGGGGCUCUCGCGCUGAGUCGGUGCGUACUGUUCGCGCUGGCGUGCCCUUAGUUCGCUUUGGACCGUCGGCCGGCCGCUCCGUUCUCCGAGGAAGCCGUUCCCUACCGUGGGUGCGAAGCCGCGCGCGCGUCUCCGACGCGUUUGUGCCGGCGCUAGCCCCUCGUUCUUCACGUGAGCAGACGGGAAAUCCCAUCCCGUUCCCGGCGGGCCAGCGCUUCGUCAACCUUUCGGGGUCCGGAGUGUUCCCGUCGUGGCCGUCGUUGAGCGGGUAGUAGGCUAGCGUAGCGAAAGCGAAGGCCGGACGUCAGGAUCGCGUCGGCUCUCGCGGUCAGACCCAAGCGUGGUUCCAUCCGACCCGUCUUGAAACACGGACCGAGGAGUCUAGCGCGUGCGCGAGCCGAGGGUGGACUUCGAGACCCGUAGGCGUAAGUGAAAGCGAAAACGGAGGAACCUCGCUCUCGGGCGAGGCGCACUCCGCGGGCACGAGUAGGUGCACCGAGAGCGAUCGCGCUGGGACCCGAAAGAUGGUGAACUAUUCCCGGUCGGGACGAAGCCGGAGGAAACUCCGGUGGAAGUCCGUAGCGAUUCUGACGUGCAAAUCGGUCGUCUGAGCUGGGUAUAGGGGCGAAAGACUAAUCGAACCGUCUGGUAGCUGGUUCCUUCCGAAGUUUCCCUCAGGAUAGCUGGCGCAGGAACGAAAGCGGAGUCGUAACGCGGUAAAGCGAAGGAUUAGAGGUAUUCGGGGCGUAUAUCGGUCCUCGACCUAUUAUCAAACUUUAAAUGCUUACGGACCGGGGCGCGUGCAGACGGCGCUCCCUCGGUAUAGGAUCCGGGCGGCGGCCAAGUGGGCCACUCUUGGUAAGCAGGACAGGUGCUGCGGGAUGAACCGAACGCGGGGUUAAGGUGCCCAACUCGAUACCGAUCCGAUACCAGGAAAGGCGUUGCUCGCUAGAGACAGCGGGACGGUGGCCAUGGAAGUCGGCAUCCGCGUAGGAGUGUGUAACGACUCUCCUGCCGAAGCGAGUGGCUCUGAAAAUGGAUGGCGCUCGAGUAUCGGACCUAUACCCCGCCUCCGAGACGACGACGGGUCCGCUUGCGGCCGAACGAGGAACUCAGGUCUCGGAGAGUAGGAAGGUCGCGGCGUUGUGCGCGGAAGGGUCUGGGCGUGAGCCCGCCCGGAGCCGACGUCGGUGCAGAUCUUGGUGGUAGUAGCGGGUGCUCGAGCGGGAACCUGGAGAAUUGACGAGGGGAAGGGUUCCGUGUGAACAGCCUUUGCACAUGGGUGAGUCGGUCCUAAGCCGAAGGAGAACUCCGGGGCUCGCGACGACGGCGGAAACUUUGAUUGACGCCGCGCGAACCACAGGCGAGAGGGGAUCCCGUAGCGAUUCGGGAACCCGGUCACGGGUCGCUCUCCCCGCCUCUUCCGAGCGGCGGGGGGAGGCACGUCCACGUGCCUUGCGACCGAAAGGUCGCGCGCCGCGAGGCGACGAGACCCGGGGAAGCCGACCGUCGCUCGAAAGGCAGAGUUAUCUGUUCUGGCUGACGCCCCACCGAUCCCACGAAUCGCUCCGCGCGGAGGCAGGGACACGGGCGCGUCGUGAAAACGCCAGAGCCCCGUGGAUUCUGCGGGGUCUCUCGGGAGGCGGGCGGACCGUGAAAACCCGGGCGAACGGCGCAAGACUCUCCCGUGCCGGUGCGUACCGAACUCCGCAUCAGGUCUCCAAGGUGAACAGCCUCUGGGUCUAGCCGAAUGUAGGUAAGGGAAGUCGGCAAGAUGGAUCCGUAACUUCGGGACAAGGAUUGGCUCUGUGACGUCGGACCGGCCGGGCACGACACGCGGAAGCGAUCGGGCGACCGCCUCCGAAGGGACUAGCAGCCCUCGU